UGGGGAAUUUUGGACAAUGGGCGCAAGCCUGAUCCAGCCAUGCCGCGUGCGGGAAGAAGGCCUUCGGGUUGUAAACCGCUUUUGUCAGGGAAGAAAUCUUCUGAGUUAAUACCUCGGGAGGAUGACGGUACCUGAAGAAUAAGCACCGGCUAACUACGUGCCAGCAGCCGCGGUAAUACGUAGGGUGCAAGCGUUAAUCGGAAUUACUGGGCGUAAAGCGUGCGCAGGCGGUUUUGUAAGACAGAGGUGAAAUCCCCGGGCUCAACCUGGGAACUGCCUUUGUGACUGCAAGGCUUGAGUGCGACAGAGGGGGAUGGAAUUCCGCGUGUAGCAGUGAAAUGCGUAGAUAUGCGGAGGAACACCGAUGGCGAAGGCAAUCCCCUGGGCCUGCACUGACGCUCAUGCACGAAAGCGUGGGGAGCAAACAGGAUUAGAUACCCCUGGUAGUCCACGCCCUAAACGAUGUCAACUGGUUGUUGGGAAGGUUCCUUCUCAGUAACGUAGCUAACGCGUGAAGUUGACCGCCUGGGGAGUACGGCCGCAAGGUUGAAACUUAAAUGAAUUGACGGGGUCAUAGCUGUUUCCUG
rnacentral:rRNA from 1 species